CCUACACAGAAAAAGGGGGAACUUUGAGCUCUAGGUGGGGGGCACCUGUCAGUUCAUACUCUCUGUAUCUACGUUGAUGAGGUAUAUUAUCAAAGUACAUGCUUUUACUAUGAACGAUCUACUGUUUGUUCAAACUAUCUUAUCAUGCUGGGUUGUUGUUUUGGUUUGGUUUUUUUGGGGGGGGGGGUUUUUGGUUUUUGGUUUUUUUUUUUUUUGGCUUCUCCUUCCACCACUCACAGAUCUGUCCCAGGUAUUGGUAAAAAACAAAACCUGGUCCUUAGGCACUAAAGUAACAAAGAUCCUCAGAUCAUUGUGAAAUUAAAGCAUGUAUGUAGGUAUUUCUAGGACCUUGCUGAAGGGCUCUGACGAGGCAUUAUUCAGUGCCUCCUGAUAGUAAGUAUACUGCCACCAAGCCAUGGGUGACCAGCCAGUUGCUGCCUGGCUGCUGACUGCUCUGUAGGUUCUUCACAACUUCUCAGAAUUUUCAUCAGGACUUCUCAAAAAAAAAAUGUACUUUCUUUUAAAUUGAUGUCAGUGACAUGUAAAUAAAUAAUUUUUCAUUCCCUUAUGUACAUGUCUCAUAUUUACACAUAUUAAAACCACAGCACUUCUCAAUUAUUUUCUUUAGAUAUGAGAAGUCCUAAGUGUUACUCUCUAUAUUCAGCUCAGAAGUACUCUUGAUCCCAGAAGUUGUAGACUGGCAGCUUUGAUAUGUUAAUCACUCAGGUUAAGGUGGGGGGGAGAGGAAGAAUCAAAAGAUUUUCCUUGUGAAUUUAUGUCUUUUACAAAAAAAAAAAUCAGGAAAGACUUCUGAUUUCAUAGAACUAGAUUGGAGAAGAGUCACCAUCAAAUAACCUGCACAGACCAUGAUGGCCACUUACUGAUGUCAUUUAUGUGACCUACAUGGCCCUAGUGACUACAUAAUAUCAUUCAUUUCUGCUUGUAGUCUUUCAUGGUUUGUAAAAAUAAGUAAAUAAACACUUCUGCAUCUUUGAAGAUUGCCUUGAAUGCAUUUUAGACUCAUUUUUUAAAGAGAGAAAAUAUUGGGUGCCACCAAUCCCGAUACCUAGCACAGGGGACCCUACUACUAACAUUUCCCAAGUCAAGCAGGCUCCAUCUAACCACUAACCACCAUUCUUUCUUCUUGUCACCAGGUCAGGUUCCCACUCCAUGUAGCCCAAGCUAGCCUCUUCCACGUGCUGGGAUGUGGGGCACACUCAGCUUCCUUUUUAAUUAUCCCUUCAUCCUCACAGUAACACAAGAAGAGGAAGUGGCCAUUUGCCUCAAGAAGAUCUUCUCCUGUAACAAUUCUCCAAAACCCUCAAGAGCAUUUCUUUGGUGAUUUAUCACUAUUUCUCCUGCGGAUCUUCUUUAAGCUAUGGUAGAUGAUGUUUGUCUGGAGAUUGUAACCAUGAAGAGAGAGAGAGAGAGAAGAAGAAGAAGGAGGAGAAGGAGGAAGAAGAAGAGGAGGAAGAAGAAGAAGAUAGUGAGUUCGAGAGUUCGAGCUGGUGGUGUAUAAACAAAACCUGCGGUGUCUAAGGGAAGUGUGUAAAUGGUUUGCUCAUAAAGGAAAUUUAAAACACUUUUAAGUAAAUGUCUGACUUCAGUGAUUUUUUUCUUUAAAGUAUCUGGGGUCAAAUUUUUAAUCUAAGUCUUAUUUACUUUCUUUGCUUGUAGAACUAGCUCUUGACUAAUUGGAUGGAGACACAAUGGAGUCUCUCAGUGAUCGUUUUGUAAUUAGUACUAUAAGCCCCAGAUUUCUAUAGAAUUUGUUUUCUCACUCUCAAAAACUAAAGUAUGUUUUACCUAGGAAAGAAAAUGCAUAUUAAGUUCUCAAAUAUUGAUAUGUUCUCUCUCAAGUGACCCCCCACUGCUCAGAGUCUCAGAAACAGAGACCACUGCCAACUAGCACACUUGUUAUGUUAGUAAGCUAUAAACUUCAAUAAAACUUCAACAAAAGUAAAUAUCAAUAAAUACAGCAAAUUGAUUCUGACUAUGAUCCAUGAUAACUAAUGUUAUCAAGAAGAAAAAAAAUCUCACCUUGACAUUAAGUAAACAGUGUGUCCCAUUGGGGUUUCCCUAGUUAUGAUUAUCUUUCUGUAUUUUGAUCAAGACAUGACCAUAGCACAUAAAAUCAUUGAUUCAGAGUCCAGAGGUCAUGGUCUUAUCUCAGAAUCAUUUCCCAAAUCACUUCCAUGUAUACUGACUCUUUGCAUCUUUGUGGGUUCAAGUUUGGUGAGGAGACAUCUUUAGAAUGGUUUAUUUAUUUUCCUUCUCUCCUCCUGUCUUAUUCAAGGGAUUUCCACACUCCAGUCUCCUACUGGUAGAGUCUAUGGAAGGUCCUUACCUCUGCCUCUCGCUGUUUUUCACUUUUCCAUUGUUGCUCCUCUGGGUUCACACAGUGGACUGGAAGAGUCUUCAAAUCCUCUUGUUUCUCCAAAGCAAUGGCAGCUUCAUAUUCCCCGUCUCUGAAGUCCCCGGGGAGGAAUUCCCCUGUAGCCCCACUGCUGUUCUUCUUCCCUGUUACCUACAUGCGAGGAGGAUGGUGACAUCAGGGAUGGUGACAUCAGAACCAGUGCUGUCCAUCCUAGGCUCACUCUCCACAAAAGAUGCUGCAGGAGGCCCUCAGUCCUUCCUCCCUGAGGGCCACCGCAUUCAGGCAGUGCGCUGUUAGAGACUUAACUACAGAUCUCCCAGGAUGACCUUUGGGUGUUGUCUUACUCUCAAGAGUAUAAGACACGCCUUGAGGUGUAAAGUGCCCAGACAAUUAUUUUUGCAGUAAAAUUUUUACCCCAAGUCAUGAUAACUACAUUAUUGCAUACCAUACUAAUGAAACCCAAGGAGAAGACAACAAACAAGAACUAUGCAGAAAAUGCAUUGCUGCCAGCUAUUUUUUCCACUUUCUCUUGUUUCAUCACAUAAACAAACCCUGUUCCAUACUUGACAUUUGCAGACUUCCCUUACAUUAUGCCUGAAAAAGAAAGGUCAUCUGAACUUUCAAAUAAAAGCCAAGAUGAAGCAGGUAUUGACAGGUAAAAAGAUGUCUUACAUACCAACUCCUCUACUCUCAGCACCAUCAUGUUGGCAGCAGUGAGUCUGUAUGUUUUCCUCUCCGGCGGAUGAACCCUUGGAGUUGGCCCUGCUGAGGCCCUCCACACCAGCUGGUUAUAUAGUUAGGGCUGGGUGAGAUAAUCUUCCAACCUGGGAAGUCAAGUAUCACCCUGCCCCCACCAAUGGCCAACUCAGAGGCAGGUGAAUUUUCAUUCCAGACUCAGUGUCUGGGAAGCCCAAGAGGGGGGAGAUGACAAGCUGGCCACAGUGUGUGCGAAUCAGGAAGAAAUGUGAGAGGGCCAUUCCUUUGGCAGUGACCGCACAGCUCAGCAAUGCGAGUCAUCCUACUUAUCGGGAAGCCAGGGACAGCUGUCUGUUCGAAUUGCACCACACCGCUGCUCCUUUUUCCUUCUUUGCCAGCUUUCAUAUGACUAGCCUAUCAAGAAAAUGCAAGCACUGUGCAUCACACUCACAGGAAUACAAUAUCUUUCUGAUAAGUGGACUUAUCAGCACUCCAGUUGGGGGAAGUGUUGCUUCAGGACAUCCUAUUCCUGUGGCUAAACAGCCCAAGGGGAAGGAGCUGGGUUUGGUGGCACUUGUCUAUAUCUGUUUGGAAUUCUCUGGAGUGAUGUCUGGGGCUAAAAUGGCCCCAUGACAUGCCACCUUACCAUCAUUAUAAGAAAUUGAAAGCAUUCAGUAUUGCACUUUUAUUUUAUGGUGUCACUGGCUAUAAUUAGCACAUGGCAUGCUUACUGCAUUCUAAAACUGAAGGCUAAUCAAAAGUGUUUGCCUAAAAAUGGAUCGGUGUGGUUCAGAGACAGGUAUGAGGCCAGUUAUUAGCAGAAACAUGACCUCGAUGCUGUCACUGAGAUAAAGUUUUUAUACAUUAUGGGGAAAGCUUGGGUGAGCCCGAGAAAAAUGCAGAUUUGAAACUGGAGAUUUGUGGGCUAAUGAUAGAGUAUCUGCCUAGAUACAAGAGGCUAGCGUGUUCUGUCCCUCACCCUGAAACAAGAAAGCCACAAGCUUUGCUCCUGAGAGAGGCAGAAAUGAUUGUUUCUGGCUUCUCGUUGCUGAGGUGUUAAAUUAUGAAAAAUAUAAAUAGUUAAGUCUUUUUAUAGUUCAAGGGAAAGAGUCUAUCUUCAAAGCCACUUACAAGACGUUUUUUGAUAAAAGGAAUGAUAGAAGAAUGAAAGGGGAGUUAGCAUUGGAGGAAAGUGUUAAUUAGUGUGUUAUGUUUACUACGUUGACCUUUUAUGUUCCUCCUCAAAUUCACCAUUCAGCAAGCAUGGUUGCUAUUCUCACAACCCCCCAGCUGAAAAUGUUCAUUCAAUAAAUUGUGUUUCUAGAA